rnacentral:lncRNA from 1 species
AGGAAUUCCAAGUGUAGUCAACAAAUGUUUGAGCUGUUUGACGCUCAAGCGAUUCACAAGCUGUUUGGCGCAACCCGCCGAACAUCUCUCAGGUAUAGUUUUUUCAGCCAUGCUUCCUUGGACUGCCGCUUUGAAUUGCUCCUCGCCAAGAACUUCGCGCAAAGCCUCUUCAAUACAAUUUGUUUGGUUUCCUGGCCCGUGGUUUCCGCUGUGACGGUGUCGUACCGAACCUCCUGAUAUGCCUGUAAAUGGUGUGCCUUCGUCUUUUCCUGCACUUGUUUUAGACUUGUCGGAGCCAAAACUGCGAUUCGAUUGCCUCUUCCACCUUUCAUCGAUUUCGUUUUGCGAUGGGCUCUUUCUUGGAUUCUGAGGCAGGUCUCUUCCUCCAUGAUUCCACGAAUUGUGUCCGUGGCUGUUUCCAUCUCCGAGUUCCGUACAAGUCGGACGCUCCGUUUUCCUCUCUGUGCUUUCUGGGUCUGCAGAAGUGUUUGCGUUUCCGCCGGAGGGAAAACUGUGACUCUCUCGUCUUGGCGCUGCGCAUUCACCUCGGGAUCUUCUUAGCACGUCCUCCCUUGAUGGGAGAGUGCCAUCUCCAGAGGAAGUAUCUUCUUGUUUCCGUCCCUCAUGGUAGUUACUCUUAUGAAAUUCCCGUACACGAUUUCCGGCCUCGGUGGAAUGCCGCCUUCUUUGGCGCGAGAAGACAGUACCGCCACCAUCAGAACAAGAGUUUCCGAAUACAUUCACACCUAAGCCGUCUGUUGAACCAGUUCGGAUAAGACUUCGGUCGUACGCGCUCCGACGUGUCUCAUCGCCUAAGACCUCCCACGCAGCUGUCAGGGCUUGGAAUCUCUGCACGUCGCCGCCUUUGUCAGGGUGCCAGAGAAGUGCAAACUGACGGUAAGUCUUCUUUACUGUUUCGUGGGAGGCAUCUCGAGAGAGCUGAAGGAGAUCGUAAAGGCGAUCUGUGGAAAAAAUGGGCCCUGAGCGGUCGUCACUUCUACGCUCAUCAGAGAAGCUCGAUCCCUCGCGCGUUCGCCUGUGAGACAUCGUGAUAUUCGUUUGGUCAGCUGUGCCGUUUGACCAAGUGCCGGCCUACUGCCUCCUCCUCCCGUAAGAUGAGCCAAGAUGGGCACCGCAUUCAAUCGAU